AAUUUAUAUACAAUAAGCGGAGGAAAAGAAACCAACAGGGAUUACCUCAGUAACGGCGAGUGAAGCGGUAACAGCUCAAAUUUGAAAUCUGGCUCUUUCAGGGUCCGAGUUGUAAUUUGUAGAAGAUGCUUCGGGUGUGGCUCCGGUCUAAGUUCCUUGGAACAGGACGUCAUAGAGGGUGAGAAUCCCGUAUGUGACUGGUUGCCUUCGCCCAUGUGAAGCUCUUUCGACGAGUCGAGUUGUUUGGGAAUGCAGCUCUAAAUGGGUGGUAAAUUUCAUCUAAAGCUAAAUAUUGGCCAGAGACCGAUAGCGCACAAGUAGAGUGAUCGAAAGAUGAAAAGCACUUUGGAAAGAGAGUUAAACAGUACGUGAAAUUGUUGAAAGGGAAGCGCUUGCAACCAGACUUGCACCCCGUCGAUCAUCCUCCGUUCUCGGGGGUGCACUCGGCGGGGUUCAGGCCAGCAUCGGUUUCGGUGGUGGGAUAAAGGCCUUGGGAACGUAGCUCCUCUCGGGGAGUGUUAUAGCCCUCGGUGCAAUGCCGCCUACCGGGACCGAGGACCGCGCUUCGGCUAGGAUGCUGGCGUAAUGGUUGUAAGCGACCCGUCUUGAAACACGGACCAAGGAGUCUAACAUCUAUGCGAGUGUUUGGGUGUUAAACCCAUACGCGUAAUGAAAGUGAACGGAGGUGAGAACCCUUUAGGGUGCAUCAUCGACCGAUCCUGAUGUCUUCGGAUGGAUUUGAGUAAGAGCAUAGCUGUUGGGACCCGAAAGAUGGUGAACUAUGCCUAAAUAGGGUGAAGCCAGAGGAAACUCUGGUGGAGGCUCGCAGCGGUUCUGACGUGCAAAUCGAUCGUCAAAUUUGGGUAUAGGGGCGAAAGACAAUCGAACCU
rnacentral:rRNA from 1 species